UAGGGAAUCUUCCACAAUGGACGCAAGUCUGAUGGAGCAACGCCGCGUGAGUGAAGAAGGUUUUCGGAUCGUAAAGCUCUGUUGUUGGUGAAGAAGGAUAGAGGUAGUAACUGGCCUUUAUUUGACGGUAAUCAACCAGAAAGUCACGGCUAACUACGUGCCAGCAGCCGCGGUAAUACGUAGGUGGCAAGCGUUGUCCGGAUUUAUUGGGCGUAAAGCGAGCGCAGGCGGAAGAAUAAGUCUGAUGUGAAAGCCCUCGGCUUAACCGAGGAAUUGCAUCGGAAACUGUUUUCUUGAGUGCAGAAGAGGAGAGUGGAACUCCAUGUGUAGCGGUGGAAUGCGUAGAUAUAUGGAAGAAUACCAGUGGCGAAGGCGGCUCUCUGGUCUGCAACUGACGCUGAGGCUCGAAAGCAUGGGUAGCGAACAGGAUUAGAUACCCUGGUAGUCCAUGCCGUAAACGAUGAGUGCUAAGUGUUGGGGAGGCUUCCGCCUCUCAGUGCUGCAGCUAACGCAUUAAGCACUCCGCCUGGGGGAGUACGACCGCAAGGUUGAAAC
rnacentral:rRNA from 1 species